rnacentral:lncRNA from 1 species
GAGCAUUUUGAAAUUUUUGAAAUUUUUGACAUUUGUGAUGGUUCCUAUAACAACAGAGACCAUUCCCAAAAUUUAAUGGCAUAUACCACAUUGGUACAUGGGAGGGACCAUACCAUCAAAGUUUCGAUCCAUUUGACCUACCAUUUUAAGAAAGUUAAUGCCACUUUAAGGUUUUUGGACCAUUUUGACCUGUUUUGCAUUGUUUCCAUGGUAACGGCAGACAUUUUCAAAAUUCCAACGCCAAAUUCCACAUCUUACAAUGUUGCUCAUCGUUUCUGUGAAGUUUUAUUAAAUUUGGAGCAUUUUCAUAUUUUUGAAAUUUUUGGUGUGGUAUCCAUGGCAACAUAGCAGUUCCAAUGAUUGCCAAAAUCAUCCCAAAGCAGUAUACAGUGGGCACCUACAUUGUAUUAAAAUCUAAAGAUUUUAAGCUUAAGCAUUCUCAAACAAUUCCCUUAACUCUAAAAUUAUAUUUUUUCACCAUUUUUUCGUUUCCAUGGUGAUGGCAGCCAUUUUUUUAGUGCCAAUACCGAAAAGCAACAGGAAAGUCAGGGUUCCUUGUUAUAGUGCAC